GGGGCAGAAAGACCGAAUAUAAACUAAAAAACAAAAUCGCGCGCGUGAGUGUUUUUUUGUUUUUUUUUGGGGAAAAGAUGAGGAAAAACGUUAAAUUAAAGUGCUGAAGUGCUGGUGGUGCUUGAAGCCUAGUGAAGAAUAAGAAGAAGUUUUGGAAAUUUGCACACAAAAUACAACAACAUACACGCACAUGCAAAAAUAAAAAAGUAAGCAUGGAAUAAUCAACAAAAAAGAAGAAUCUAAACCUUUAUGCAAUUGAUUUUUUAAGUGGUAUGCUCGUAGUAGGUGUAUUUUGUUUUGUGUAUCUGCCUAAUGCCUCCUUUAAGUUUCCCAAAAAAAAAGCCAUAAGGCCAUCAUCAUCAACACACAUGGUGCGUAUUUGUGUGAAUGUGUGCGUGUUUUUUUGUGGCGAUGGCAGUGACAAUGUGCGUUUAGUGUAUUAAACCCCCCCUCCCCACCAUUUAGAACUAAUCAAGGGGAUGAAGAAAGUGUUUGGAUAACUGUUGCGCUUGUGGUAGUUGCCGCAGCUGUGUGACAUGUAAUGAAAGAAAUAUAGGUAACGGUAUUACGCACGCACAAACACACAAGGGAUACAAAAUGGUUGCUAAAAAACUCAAAGUGAAAUUUAAGGAGUUUACUUUUUGUCCACAAAUUUAAAUAGUGAAAAGUUGUUAAACCACAAAAGAUAAAAACAAAAUUCAAAUUCAAAUGAAUUCAACCGGUUAAUGUAAUGCAGCGUUGUAAAGAAGGAGUAAAAGUUAAUAAUAAUAAUUAAAUUUUAGCCAACGCAAGGUUAAGCUCAUUAAGUUUGUUAUCGAUAACUGUGGAAAUCGUUGGUGAUAGCAACAAAAACAAACAAAACUCCCCCACAUUAAAACAACAAAUAAUAACAAAUAAUAAAGCCGAAACAAUUCACUUGUCAUGUUCGUUCAUAUAUUGCCACAAUUUCGAUAAUGAAGACAAGUGUUGGAAAUAUUUUACAAAAAACCGCAUUGCAAAUAAAAAAAUAAAAACCUAAAAAAUAUCAAAAAAAAAUACAACAGUCUAAUACAAUAACCACCAAUUUAUUAAUAAUAAUUCAUAGAAAUAUUUAAAAAAAAUCUUUAAAUAGAAAAUUGUACACAACAACAAGCCUACAUAUAAAGCUAAACAAAAAAAAUGCUUGUAUUCAUUUCGAGAAAAGUAACAAAAUAAGAAAAAUUUUU
rnacentral:sRNA from 1 species